UGGGGAAUAUUGCACAAUGGGCGAAAGCCUGAUGCAGCAACGCCGCGUGAGCGAUGAAGGCCUUCGGGUCGUAAAGCUCUGUCCUCAAAGAAGAUAAUGACGGUACUUGAGGAGGAAGCCCCGGCUAACUACGUGCCAGCAGCCGCGGUAAUACGUAGGGGGCAAGCGUUAUCCGGAUUUACUGGGUGUAAAGGGAGCGCAGACGGAAAUGCAAGUCUGAUGUGAAAGCCCGGGGCUCAACCGCGGGACUGCAUCGGAUACUGUAUAUCUGGAGUGCCGGAGGGGCAAGCGGAAUUCCUGGUGUAGCGGUGAAAUGCGUAGAUAUCAGGAGGAACACCGGCGGCGAAGGCGGCUUGCUGGACGGCAACUGACGUUGAGGCUCGAAAGCGUGGGGAGCAAACAGG
rnacentral:rRNA from 1 species